rnacentral:rRNA from 1 species
UACAGAGGAUGCGAGCGUUAAUCGGAAUUACUGGGCGUAAAGCGUGCGUAGACGGUCAAGUAAGUCGGGUGUGAAAGCCCCGGGCUCAACCUGGGAAUUGCAUUCGAGACUGCGUGGCUAGGGUGCGGAAGAGGGAAGCGGAAUUUCCGGUGUAGCGGUGAAAUGCGUAGAUAUCGGAAGGAACACCAGUGGCGAAAGCGGCUUCCUGGUCCAGCACCGACGUUCAGGCACGAAAGCGUGGGGAGCAAACAGG